rnacentral:rRNA from 1 species
AGGGUUUGAUUAUGGCUCAGGAUGAACGCUAGCUACAGGCUUAACACAUGCAAGUCGAGGGGAAACGAUAUUGGAAGCUUGCUUCCGAUAGGCGUCGACCGGCGCACGGGUGAGUAACGCGUAUCCAACCUGCCCACCACUUGGGGAUAACCUUGCGAAAGUAAGACUAAUACCCAAUGAUAUCUCUAGAAGACAUCUGAAAGAGAUUAAAGAUUUAUCGGUGAUGGAUGGGGAUGCGUCUGAUUAGCUUGUUGGCGGGGUAACGGCCCACCAAGGCAACGAUCAGUAGGGGUUCUGAGAGGAAGGUCCCCCACAUUGGAACUGAGACACGGUCCAA